GUAGGUGGCAAGCGUUGUCCGGAAUUAUUGGGCGUAAAGCGCGCGCAGGCGGUUCUUUAAGUCUGAUGUGAAAGCCCACGGCUCAACCGUGGAGGGUCAUUGGAAACUGGAGAACUUGAGUACAGAAGAGGAAAGCGGAAUUCCACGUGUAGCGGUGAAAUGCGUGGAGAUGUGGAGGAACACCAGUGGCGAAGGCGGCUUUCUGGUCCGUAACUGACGCUGAGGCGCGAAAGCGUGGGGAGCAAACAGGGAUUAGAUACCCUGGUAGUCCACGCCGUAAACGAUGAGUGCUAAGUGUUAGGGGGUUUCCCGCCCCUUAGUGCUGCAGCUAACGCAUUAAGCACUCCGCCUGGGGAGUACGGCCGCAAGGCUG
rnacentral:rRNA from 1 species